UUUUCAGUUUUAGUAAUGCGAAAUGAUGGGAGAGAAAGUUCGUUGCGCUACUCUCUUGGUCUCUAGGCCGCCUAAGUACUCGCAUAGCCAAUAUGAUGUAGUCUAAAAAUGAUUCGAAGAGUAUUGUGCACCCAAAACGAAAGUGGCAACAACGAGGCACACAUUUCAACAAUGUUUUUUACAACAAAACAACAACAACCCAGCCAAACAUCAUAUAUAGCUGAUAGCUGUUGAGGAGGUGAGCAGUGCAGAGCAACCGCACAUCAACGUAACCCGUCAGCAGCAAUUAUUUCGCACACACGGCGCAAUCAACAUGUACUACGGUGCAACGUCUCUAUUCCCCGGCGUGUGGAUUGUAUGCUGAUUGUAUUGUCUGCUCAUUGCCCUGACUACGUUCAACCAUCCAUCCAGCCAGCCAUCCAGCUAUUUGCAUGUUUAUUCAGCUAUGCGAAUGGCACUCGAACAAAUUUGUGCGGCGCAGCGCUCCGUUGCGUGUUGUUGAUAUAAAAGUCGAUACAGGGUGCUGCGAAAAGGUGAGUGCAAUUUAACGCAAUUUAAUUUUAAUAUUAUUUUUGCAUUUAUUUAUUUUUGUUGUUAUUUUUUCGAGAUCAAGUGUGAACAAAGCUAGGCCACGCUUACAUUUCCUGCCAGGCUUGCCACUUAUUCCAUAAUUACAUCCAUUGCCGCAUUUUGCCUAAAACUUGAAACACAAUAUUUUCCCAACUCAAAAGAUUUGCAUGCAUGCCAGUGGACCCUCUGUUUAUGCAAUUUUGUUAGGCAAAAUAUUUGUUUAAGUCGCACGUAUGCACACUUAUCGUUACUGUGCAUUAGCAGAUUUAUUACGCACUGUCAGUUCAUUAAUAUUCCUCUAUAAGAAUGCCUGCAUGUGUGUACUUACCAAUAAACAACAAAAACAAGCAACAAUUAAAUGAAAAUUCUCAAAUUUUCUUGCACAUCCUGUUUUGAUAAAAUUUUAAUCUCCUGUUGCAUGCACAAAAUGCAGAUAUUUUGCCGAAAUUGCAACAUUUACAAUAUGUAAAUACACUGAAUUUAGCUUGCUGAGGCAACCAGUAGAAAAUUUGGUACGAUUGCAAAUGCAACCCUGUUGGGUCAUAUGUAAUUGUGUGUCGGUUUUUUCUGAAGUAUUAUUAUCAUCAUUUUGUAUUGCUUCUCUUUCUGACUACUUUCCGAAAUAUUACUUGAAGUAAAGCUUUAAAGAUAAGUUCAAGUUACGUUAAGUUCUAAGGUUUGAAGAUUUAUGAAGAUUUCACUUGGCCGGAGAUGAUGAGUUCUUUGUGAAGGUACUGACGAUACUUUACUUUAACCCUUGUAUGUCAACACCAAGAACCCAUCAUGUGCUGAGACGUCUGAAUUCUUUUCCAACUAGUUCGUCUCUUUGGAUAAUGUUAUAAGAACGUACUUGUUUCAAACUUACUCUUCAGAAAGAGAUUCUUGAGAGAUUCGUAUACUAUGGGAACUCUAUAGCUAAUCCUGAUUUCAAAUUGUUUCCGAAUUCUUAUUGGGUUUAAGCAAAUAUAUUUCGAAUUUCUUUAGAUCAAUCACUAGACUGCCUCUAGUCUCAUACAACUGCUGUUUCGGAAACAGAUUCUUGAGAUUGCUAAUACUAUAUGAACUCUAUAACUAAUUCUGAUUGCAAAUUGCUUCCGUAUUCUUAUUGGGUUUAACCAAAUAUAUUCCGAAUUUCUUUAGUUUCAAUCACUAGACUCUGUCUCUAGUCUCAUACAACUGGUGUUUCGGUAAGAGAUUCUUGAGAUCGCUCAUACUAUGGGAACUCUAUAGCUAAUCCUGAUUGCAAAUUGCUUCCGUAUUCUUAUUCGGUUUAAGCAAAUAUACGCCGUAUUCUUUAGUUUCAAUCACUAGACUCUGUACUCUUGAGAGAGAAUUUAUUAAUAUGCUUACCAGCAUGUAAUCGAGAGUCGGCACCCAUACAAAUUCAAUGUGCAUCUUAGGCUUUAUAUUUGUUCUGACUUUUUUCAAUUAUGCAUGUCCUUUGCAUAGCUUCUCCCCUUGUUGCCUUUGAUAAUUGUUGCAAAUCUUUUGCGAUAGAAAACUAUAAACACAGUGCGAGUAUAUGACAAUAUGUUGGUGGCAUUUAAAUAUUUUAAAAUCUCUCACCUCUUUACAUAUACUAUUACAUAUACUCAUAUGUGGCAUUAUAUAACUGGCACAAAGGACCGACCUCGAAAUCGAGUAAUUUCCCAAAGGAUGCUUGAGUGUUUUUGAUAAUGGCUUGAAAAUGUGCCCACAUAUUUAUUUAAUUAUUUCGUAUA